AACGAACGCUGGCGGCAGGCCUAACACAUGCAAGUCGAGCGAACCCUUCGGGGUUAGCGGCGGACGGGUUAGUAACGCGUGGGAAUAUACCCUUUGGUACGGAAUAGCCUCGGGAAACUGAGAGUAAUACCGUAUGUGCCCUUCGGGGGAAAGAUUUAUCGCCAAAGGAUUAGCCCGCGUUGGAUUAGCUAGUUGGUGAGGUAACGGCCCACCAAGGCGACGAUCGAUAGCUGGUCUGAGAGGAUGGUCAGCCACACUGGGACUGAGACACGGCCCAGACUCCUACGGGAGGCAGCAGUGGGGAAUAUUGGACAAUGGGGGAAACCCUGAUCCAGCAAUGCCGCGUGCGUGAAGAAGGCCCUAUGGGUUGUAAACUACUUUUAUUAGGGAAGAAAAACUUUGAUUUAUCAGAGCUUGACGGUACCUAAGGAAUAAGCACCGGCUAACUCCGUG
rnacentral:rRNA from 1 species